UGAGAGCACAAGCCGGAAAUGGAAAAGCCGGUGCAAGCGAGGUAGGAGUACAGUAGGCAAAUCCGCUGUACAAUCCGAAGACGUGAUGCGGACCGAAUUAAGAGUGGGGAAGUGUGUGAGCCAUGCGUCAAGAAAAGCCGCUAUUGUUCUACUUAAGCCCGUACCGUAAGCCGACACAGGUGGAUGAGGAGAGAAUCCUAAGACCGACGGGAGAAGCAUUGUUAAGGAACUCGGCAAAAUGACUCCGUAACUUCGGGAGAAGGAGUGCCAGCGAGAGCUGGCCGCAGAGAAUUGGCCCAAGCAACUGUUUAGCAAAAACACAGGUCUAUGCAAAACCGUAAGGUGAAGUAUAUGGGCUGACGCCUGCCCGGUGCUGGAAGGUUAAGAGGAGAGGUUAGCGGCAACGCGAAGCUUUGAAUUUAAGCCCCAGUAAACGGCGGCCGUAACGAUAACGGUCCUAAGGUAGCGAAAUUCCUUGUCGGGUAAGUUCCGACCCGCACGAAAGGCGUAAUGAUUUGGGCACUGUCUCAACAAUGCACCCGGUGAAAUUGAAAUACCAGUGAAGAUGCUGGUUACCUGCGCCAGGACGGAAAGACCCCAUGGAGCUUUACUCCAGCUUGAUACUGGGAUUCGGUAUUGCAUGUACAGGAUAGGUGGGAGGCUAGGAAGUGAUAACGCCAGUUGUCACGGAGCCGCUGUUGGGAUACCACCCUUGCAGUAUUGGAUUUCUAACCAGCGACCAUGAACUGGUCGGGGGACAGUGUCAGGUGGGGAGUUUGACUGGGGCGGUCGCCUCCGAAAGGGUAUCGGAGGCGCUCAAAGGUUCCCUCAGAAUGGACGGAAACCAUUCGAAGAGUGCAAAGGCAGAAGGGAGCUUGACUGCGACACCGACGGGUGGAGCAGGUACGAAAGUAGGACUUAGUGAUCCGGUGGUAUAAAGUGGGAUUGCCAUCGCUCAACGGAUAAAAGCUACCCUGGGAUAACAGGCUUAUCACUCCCAAGAGUUCACAUCGACGGAGUGGUUUGGCACCUCGAUGUCGGCUCAUCGCAUCCUGGGGCUGAAGUAGGUCCCAAGGGUUGGGCUGUUCGCCCACUAAAGCGGUACGCGAGCUGGGUUCAGAACGUCGUGAGACAGUUCGGUCCCUAUCCGGCGUGGGCGUAGGAUAUUUGAGAGGAGCUGUCCUUAGUACGAGAGGACCGGGAUGGACUGGCCGCUGGUGUAUCUGUUGCAUACCAAAUGCAUGGCAGAGUAGCCAAGCCGGGACGGGAUAAACGCUGAAGGCAUCUAAGCGUGAAGCCCCCCUCAAGAUGAGAUAUCCCUACGUAAGUAGUAAGACCCCUUGAAGACGACGAGGUAGAUAGGUCAGAGGUGGAAGUACAGUAAUGUAUGGAGCUGAAUGAUACUAAUCGGUCGAGGGCAUGACC
rnacentral:rRNA from 1 species